rnacentral:rRNA from 1 species
GGUUUCCGUAGGUGAACCUGCGGAAGGAUCCUUGUCGG